rnacentral:rRNA from 1 species
UGAGUAACCUGCCCUUAACUCUGGGAUAAGCCUGGGAAACUGGGUCUAAUACCGGAUAUGACUCCUCAUCGCAUGGUGGGGGGUGGAAAGCUUUAUUGUGGUUUUGGAUGGACUCGCGGCCUAUCAGCUUGUUGGUGAGGUAAUGGCUCACCAAGGCGACGACGGGUAGCCGGCCUGAGAGGGCGACCGGCCACACUGGGACUGAGACACGGCCCAGACUCCGUACGGGAGCAG